rnacentral:lncRNA from 1 species
UGUGCCACUUUAAUAUCAAACCCAGAAUAUUUCAUGGGAAAGAUGGAAAUGGAGCUUCCAGUCGGGAAAAGUCGAGGUGAAGCAGGUCGGUGUUCUGCUGCUAUUUCCGUAAGGGUGGAAGCUGUGCUGCAUGAUACAGACAUCGUGUAUUUAUACUGCUAUUGAAACACCUUCCAAGCAAAAACUUUUCAGUGGUCCCAAGUCUUCCUAAUAUGUGGGAAAUUAUCGGAGGAAAUCAGAGGAAAUUUUGAAGUGCUAAUCUGGAACAUCAAUUUUAAAAAACAAGCGCCAACCAAUUAAGUUCAAAAUAUUUGGAUUUCCCCCACCCAGUGCUCCAGUUUUGAUGAGCUCUAUUGAUUUCCUCUUGCGUAAGUCACUUUCUCGUAAGCAUACCUCGGGAGAGAAAUAAAUCUGUUUGGAUACACUAGGAGGUCAGGCUGCGUUUAGAUGGCACCACUCACGCUUUGUCCAGACUGAGCAUUUGGAAGAGCAAUACAAUUUAUUACUGAAUGAGAGGAUGCAAAGAGCAUCUAGGUUUAACUGCUCCAUAUUUUUUUGUUUUAAAAUAUUCCUGGCAAGCUGUUCCUUUCGGUUCCCAAAGCGCUAUCAGAAGUUGGUGGAAUAAUGCUCUUCCAUGGGUCCAGAAGAAGCCAGGAAGGGGCUCCCCUGCAGAGGCAGUAGUCGAUGUUUUGGAUAAGGUGUCCUGCAGCACGGUUAUGUGACACUUCUCGUGCAGCCCCAGCUACGUGAGACUGCUUGGAGAACUGCACCAUCCUCCUUUCUGGCUUGGGCACCAACCCCUGCCAGCAGCACGCAGACAACUUGGUGAUGCUCAUAGGAAGCUCCUGGGGGCAGAAGAGCUGUCUGAAAGCUGGCCUGUACCCUGCCAUCCCUCCCUCUGUGCCAGCCCCAUCCCUGAAAACAGAGAUUUCUGUCCUUUAAGUGGAUGGGGGUGGGAGCCUUGCUCAGUGUGGCAGUGUUGGUGAUGCUUGGGGAUGCUGAUGGAUGCCCGUGGCACCAUGAUUGUGGGCCAGGGCCUCAAGGAAAGAAACGUGAAGGCAGUGAUCAGAGAAAGUGUGCAGAAUUCUCCUGCUCUUUUCUUUUUCAGUUUAAUUGACAUUCCUGACCUUUUCUCAGGGCAGUUUCCACUGAGAAGCAGCACCAAAUAUCCCUCUCUUCACCUCCCUGUGACACACCUUGGCUGUCUCCAGGGAGCCUGUCCUCUCCCCAGCACCCUGCAGCAUCUGGGGAACAGACGUGGCAGCAGCUCAAGCUCCAAAAAUGAUGUCAUGGAUUAUUUAUCUCUGAAAGCAUUAAAUGAUACAAAGCCCUUGAUGAGUCACUGGGAAAAACAAUCUUCAAGCCUAGCUGGUGCAAGAAGAAAAGACCAGUGGCGGUCCGCUUAAUGGACCUGCUUUAGCAAAAGACGUGAGACCCAUAAAUCCCCCGGUCUCUAACACUUCUAACACUUGAAAGCAAUUGCAUUUCUCCGUUCCUGAGUCCUGUAGUCAAGCACCAAGCAGCUCCCUGCCUGGCGUUUGGGUUUCAAAGCCAAGCAGCAUCGCUCCUUGGAGAGUUUGAGCCAGCGAGGUCAGCGGCAUCACAGCACGUGCUGCUGUCCCCAGCGUGGCUCUGUCAAAGCAUCCCAGGCAAACUGAGCAGUUACCAGGUUUUUAUAAGGUCCCUGCAAUCCCCCUUUGCAGCCUGAAAACAAAGGAAAAACAUGCCUCAAGCACACUGAUAAAGGGCUUUUGAAUGGAGGCAGCUGAAUCACACGCCAUUUCACAAUUAGCACUUUAAUUUUGAACAUUAAUUAGGACGCUGGUGUUUGGAGAGUUUAGCUCUCCUCGACCCACUUACAUUGUUCAGAGACGGGCUAAAGAGAUACUGAAGUUUGCAAAUAAAUCAAUGGGAAAAAAAAUUAAAAGUCA